rnacentral:rRNA from 1 species
UUUAUGGAGAGUUUGAUCCUGGCUCAGGAUGAACGCUGGCGGCGUGCCUAAUACAUGCAAGUCGAGCGAACGGACGAGAAGCUUGCUUCUCUGAUGUUAGCGGCGGACGGGUGAGUAACACGUGGAUAACCUACCUAUAAGACUGGGAUAACUUCGGGAAACCGGAGCUAAUACCGGAUAAUAUUUUGAACCGC